UUUUUUUUUAAAUUUAGUGAAAAUAUUUAUUUCCUACAAAAAUUAGAAUAUGUAAAACAAGACAAAAAGAGUAUGUGAAAAUGAAAUGGUCAAAAUGUCUCAAUAUGGAGUAUAGUUAUUCCUCACAGCAAUGUUGAACCUGUAGCAAUGUUUCAUGCUGUUGAUGAUGAUAUUUAUCAAUUCAGUUGUAGCAAUGGUCAUUGUUCCUGCAAAGCAUUUCUAAGUUCCCUGAGGUCUUAGGACAGGAGUUGAGGGCAAAUAUAUAUCUCACUAGAAUCCAAGAUAAUAAUAAUAUAAUUAAAGUCAGGAGACCUGGCCUCUCCAUUUAUAUGGUGGUUUGAUCUUGAUGAUGAUGAUUAUAUCAGAUUGUUUAAUCUUCUGGACAUUAUUGUCCUGUAGAUUAAAGGAAUCUACAAUUGUGUCUGCAUAUGGACAGACAGUGAGAUCUGACUUCAUCCUUAUACUUUCUGGCAUUCAUGUUUUUUCUAGGAAGGUGUUUUCCAGAGGAAAGGUUAUCAGCCACCUAACAAAAUGCUACUCCAAAUCAGCAGGCUACUUCCAUCAUAAAUUUCUCUUUCUUGAAGGAAAUUAGCAUGUCCUGAUCAGCAUGAAAUUGCAUAGUAGAGUAAAUCUAGAUUCAUUGCUAGAAAGUAUAGACUUCCAUUGAAUUUCACUCCAGCUAACACAAUGUCUUGCCCAUUUCAAACAUUCCCUUCUGUGAGGAAUAUAUGGGACAUGCAGACUGCUUGUUGCAUAGCGCAUAAAAGUUCUUCCUGAAGCCUUCUGUGCACAAUAGAGAGCACAUGCCAGCAUUUCUAUAAUUUCAGCAAGGGAAGAUUGCAGGUGUGUUGGUGUAGCAUUCUUUUCCUUCAAGCCAAUAACUGAAUAUAUUAAUUAUCCAUUAUGCUAGUAACUAUAGGUCUUCCACCACUAUCUCUGUUUGAGAGUUUUGAAAUUGACUCCAUAGCUUGUGAAACAUAAUAUGAUUAACAUUAACCAUUUGGCUAAUUCUCCCUGACUUUGACCUUCCUUUAGCCUCCCAAUAAUUUUCAUCUCAAUUCAUUAAUUAAAUGAUAUUUACUAGCUAUAUUCUAAAAUCAGAAUAAGCAUCAAGCUAUCUGGAUUUUCCUCUUUCACAUUUCAAACUUGAAUUAGUGAGCAGCUUUCACAUUGUGACUUUCAUGGUGCAACAGAUUUGCAUAUAUCAAGGACUGCAGAAACAAUUUGCAUACUUUAUUCUUAUUCAGCAUUGCACUUUAUAUAAUCUUCAUUAAUUUUGUACCUAUCCAGCC
rnacentral:lncRNA from 1 species